UACAGAGGGGGCAAGCGUUGUUCGGAAUUACUGGGCGUAAAGGGCGCGUAGGCGGCCUGCUAAGUCGAACGUGAAAUCCCUGGGCUCAACCCAGGAACUGCGUCCGAUACUGGUUGGCUUGAAUCCGGGAGAGGGAUGUGGAAUUCCAGGUGUAGCGGUGAAAUGCGUAGAUAUCUGGAGGAACACCGGUGGCGAAGGCGGCAUCCUGGACCGGUAUUGACGCUGAGGCGCGAAAGCCAGGGGAGCAAACGGG
rnacentral:rRNA from 1 species